CAGAGAGCAGAAGUGCACAGAGGUUGUGGUCUGAAAUCUAAAAGCUACUUCGAGGCAGAAGCCAUCCAAUCAAAAGGCAGGAAUUAUAGGGAGAACAGGCAUUAUUUUAAAAAAUAUGUGGAAUCUAUUUUCUUUUUUAAGGCAAAACAACAAAAAUGAUUUAUAAGGUCGCCUUGGUAUCCAUGUUGCUGCUGAAUCCAGUUAUGCUCUAAGAUCUGUGAUAUUUACUAUCACAUGUUGCACACUGGUUUCUAACAGGUUAUUCAAUAAAGAGAAAAUUGUCGGGAAUUCAAAGUGAAUUUAAAAUUUAAGGCAAAAGUAGCCGAGUUGGAAAAUGCUCCAGGUCAGCGUUUAAUUCGGCUACUAUGGCUGAGUAAGUGUAAUUGAGCCCAGCAAGCUGAUCUAUUUGUCCUGGAGUAAAUGCUAAUAAAGCACAGAAAAACAUCAAGGGUAAAGCCUGUUUUUUGUUAACAUGUCAUGAUAAUGAUUUUAUCGGGAACCGAUUGGGUCACCGAUUGGAUCAUUUAAAAACAUUUAACAUAGAUUCUCUUACAACCUACCAAAAAACAGGAGAUACCUUUUCUAUAUCUCCAUUUCAUAGCCUGGCACCUAAGCUAUCUUUUUGGCCUUCACAUAGAAAAACUCUCAUCAAAACUUUAUCCAAAACUGGGUGCCCUGUGCAGAAACAAGUCCUGCCUAAGCCCUACAGUAAAGGAAAAGAUUGUACAGCAAAUGCUAGGGUGAAUCAUUGAAAAUGGGGAUGUAGUAUAUGCACCCGCACUGCAAUCCCACAUUAAUAAACUCAAUACAUUGUAUAAGUCGUUAUGCCGCUUUGUGCUACAAUGUAACUACAUGACCCACCAUUGUUACAUGCUAAAAGAACUAAACUGGCUGCCGCUGGAAUCCAGACGCACCCUUCAUCUUUCCAGCCUUGUGUUUAAGAGCUUUUCUGGGAACCUCCCACCCUACCUGAGCAGAAUGUUCUCCUCGGCUGUUCCCACCUUCUAUAACCUCAGAUCCAGUACUAGCACGAUGUUUAGCAUACCGCAAUACAAAAAUAAAGCGGCUCAAUCCUCAUUUUCCUACAGAGCACCGCUAUUAUGGAACGACCUCCCACACAGUUUCAAAUCUUCCCCAAGCCUAAAGUCCUUUAAGAGAUCCCUCUCUACAUCCCUCAAAACAGAAUGCACCUGUCAUGGUUGAUUAUAUAUUUCCUACCUGUUCUAUGUUGAAUUUUGUAUAUAUUGGUAUUAAUAUUGUUUUUGUAUUUUAUUGUACCCUAUUGUAACGAUGCAAUGUUUUGUGGACCCAGGACAUACUUGAAAACGAGAGAAAUCUCAAUGUAUACUUCCUGGUAAAAUAUUUUAUAAAUACAUGAAUAGAGGUACACGGUGAAUUAUUAAAUAGUACCCAGGAAACUAUCAAGGAAUACACACCCUGAUUAAUAACAGCAUAAUUAAUUUUGUUUUAUAGCUUAGAACAAGUCCUCAUAUA